AUUGAACGCUGGCGGCAGGCCUAACACAUGCAAGUCGAGCGGAGCGGCGGACGGGGGAGUAAUGCCUAGUAAUCUGCCUGGUAGUGGGGUAUAACGUCCGGAAACGGGCGCUAAUACCGCAUACUAUCAGAUGAGCCUAGGUCGGCUUAGCUAGUUGGUGGGGUAAAGGCCUACCAAGUCGACGAUCCGUAACUGGUCUGAGAGGAUGAUCAGUCACACUGGAACUGAGACACGGUCCAGACUCCUACGGGAGGCAGCAGUAGGGAAUAUUUGACAAUGGGCGAAAGCCUGAUCCAGCCAUGCCGCGUGUGUGAAGAAGGUCUUCGGAUUGUAAAGCACUUUAGGUUGGGAGGCGUUACCAACAGAAUAAGCACCGGCUAACUUCGUGCCAGCAGCCGCGGUAAUAC
rnacentral:rRNA from 1 species